rnacentral:rRNA from 1 species
GAUGAACGCUGGCGGCGUGCCUAAUACAUGCAAGUCGAGCGAACAGACGAGGAGCUUGCUCCUCUGACGUUAGCGGCGGACGGGUGAGUAACACGUGGAUAACCUACCUAUAAGACUGGGAUAACUUCGGGAAACCGGAGCUAAUACCGGAUAAUAUAUUGAACCGCAUGGUUCAAUAGUGAAAGACGGUUUUGCUGUCACUUAUAGAUGGAUCCGCGCCGCAUUAGCUAGUUGGUAAGGUAACGGCUUACCAAGGCAACGAUGCGUAGCCGACCUGAGAGGGGGAUCGGCCACACUGGAACUGAGACACGGCCCAGACUCCUACGGGAGGCAGCAGUAGGGAAUCUUCCGCAAUGGGCGAAAGCCGGACGGAGCAACGCCACGUGAGUGAUGAAGGUCUUCGGAUCGUAAAACUCUGUUAUUAGGGAAGAACAAAUGUGUAAGUAACUAUGCACGUCUUGACGGUACCUAAUCAGAAAGCCACGGCUAACUACGUG